AAUUUGCACCAAGUGACGAAAUCUGGUGACGACAUAAAAAACAGAAGAAAUAUUCCUCCACAGGCAGUGGCACACUGCCUAAGAUGGCACAUGGUGCCCAAGGGGGCGACAGCACACUGCCCGAGGUGGCAGUGUGCCUCACAAGGCCGAACGUGUAUUGCAGGUGCUGGGCUUCCCUAUGUGUGCGCAGGGCCUUCAGCGCACAGGGUGUUGCGCAUAGGCCUACUGCUCGCAAGCCCUAGGUGCGCAGGCCUAUUUGCACAGGCCUAUUGCAUGGAUGAUGCAUGCACAGUGCGUGCGCGCACAGCAGGCACGGGACGUGCAAACAGCAUGCAUGUUCCAUCUGUGUGCGCGGCGCAGGGUUAGACCCUGUGCGCGACCUGUCGCACAUGGACAAGCUGUCCGUUGUCACCUUGCACGUGCCCUUCGUGCAACAAGCCAGCGUUGAUAGGCCUCUGUGUGCUUGGGCCCUAGCCUAGGCGCAUGGCACCCAGCGC
rnacentral:lncRNA from 1 species